rnacentral:rRNA from 1 species
AGGAUUCCCUCAGUAAGGGCGACUGAACGGGGAAGAGCUCAGCAUGUGAAUCUGCGUUUCGGCGCUGAAUUGUGGUCUGUUGACUCUGGCGUUAUUGGCCGGGCUAAGUCCCUUGGAACAGGGCAGCAUAGAGGGUGAGACUCCCGUCUGCCUGGCCUUUGGAGCUGGAUGUCUACGAGUCGAGUUGUUUGGGAUUGCAGCUCAAAGUGGGUGGUAAAUUCCAUCUAAAGCUAAAUAUUGGUGGGAAACCGAUAGCGUACAAGUACCGUGAGGGAAAGAUGCAAAGAACUUUGAAAAGAGAGUUAAAGAGUACCUGAAAUUGCUGAAAGGGAAGCGAAGGAAACCAGUGCUUGCCGAGGCAUAUUUCUCCCUCCGCUUGCGGGGUGGGCGCUGUGUCUUGGCCUGGGUCAGGCUUGGUUCGGUUGGUCGGAAGGGCGUAGCGGGAGUUGCCCGCUGCUUGCCUGCGACUGGCAGGACUGAGGUUGACAAAAUGGUUUUCUUUACCCCG